rnacentral:rRNA from 1 species
UACGGGGGGAGCAAGCGUUGUUCGGAUUUACUGGGCGUAAAGGGCGCGUAGGCGGCGCAACAAGUCACUUGUGAAAUCUCCGGGCUUAACCCGGAGCGGCCAAGUGAUACUGUCGUGCUAGAGUGCGGAAGGGGCUACUGGAAUUCUCGGUGUAGCGGUGAAAUGCGUAGAUAUCGAGAGGAACACCUGCGGCGAAGGCGGGUAGCUGGGCCGACACUGACGCUGAGGCGCGAAAGCGUGGGUAGCAAACAGG